CCCACAGUGGAGGUGUCAUAAUACCCAUAACACCUAGUGGUCAAACAGGGAAAUGGUUCCAAUAGUUUUAUAGAGCCCCACAGUGGAGGUGUCAUAAUACCCAUAACACCUUGUGGUCAAACAGGGAAAUGGUUCCAAUAGUUUGAUAGAGCCCCACAGUGGAGGUGUCAUAAUACCCAUAACACCUAGCGGUCAAACAGGGAAAUGGUUCCAAUAGUAUUUCCAAUAAAACACAUGAGCUGGCGCACACCCAAAGAUUUUUAUUUUUUUAUGUGGAAGUUCUGACUAAUGGCUAAUAAACUAUAAGCUAUAAAAAUAAGGAGAGUGGCACACUCCAUACAGUGAGG
rnacentral:lncRNA from 1 species